rnacentral:rRNA from 1 species
UACAACGCACUACCUGUUCAUAGUAGUCGUUGCUGUCAACAGCACACUGCUCACCAUCGACGCAGGGGACUACAUCUUCUACACCGACUGGGCGUGGACGUCCUUCGUUGUGCUCUCGGUGUCGCCGUCGGCCGUGCUUUACGUAGGAGGCACAUGCUACAUCUUUUCCACAGGCUGUGGAGGCACAGCAGACUAUGGCGCUACUCGCAAUACCUGCUACUAAAGGGCGCCAAAGGGGGCAGGCUCUUCGCUUGGGUACUCCCACGACCUCCCCGGCGACAAGACGCAGCGAGCACGCUUCCAUCCUGAUUGGCGGGCCGCAGGUUGGCCUAUCCUGCCCGCUGUUCAACAUGGUCAACCUGUUGCUUGUAAGGGACCCGCUCGAGGUGGCCUUCAAGUAUCCGAGACCGACUCUGCCCGCGUACAUGACGCCUAUAGAGCCUCAGGUAGGGAAGUUCUACAACUCGCCUGUCGCCCUGGGUUCAGGUGCCGGUGCAGUGCUAACGGUACCCAUCGCUGCGUUGGGUGCAAAACUAAACACGUGG